rnacentral:rRNA from 1 species
CGUGGUGGGAGACAGUGUCAGGCGGGCAGUUUGACUGGGGCGGUCGCCUCCUAAAAGGUAACGGAGGCGCUCAAAGGUUCCCUCAGAAUGGUUGGAAAUCAUUCAUAGAGUGUAAAGGCAUAAGGGAGCUUGACUGCGAGACCUACAAGUCGAGCAGGGUCGAAAGACGGACUUAGUGAUCCGGUGGUUCCGCAUGGAAGGGCCAUCGCUCAACGGAUAAAAGCUACCCCG